rnacentral:rRNA from 1 species
AAUUUUGCGCAAUGGGCGAAAGCCUGACGCAGCAACGCCGCGUGAAUGAUUAAGCCCCUCGGGGUGUAAAGUUCUGUCAGUGGGGACGAAAUUUGACGGUACCCACAGAGGAAGCACCGGCUAACUCCGUGCCAGCAGCCGCGGUAAUACGGAGGGUGCAAGCGUUGUCCGGAAUCAUUGGGCGUAAAGAGUUCGUAGGUGGCAUGUUAAGUCUGGUGUUAAAGCCCGAAGCUCAACUUCGGUUCGGCACUGGAUACUGGCAAGCUUGAAUGUGGUAGAGGUAAAGGGAAUUCCUGGUGUAGCGGUGAAAUGCGUAGAUAUCAGGAGGAACAUCGGUGGCGAAAGCGCUUUGCCGGGCCAUUAUUGACACUGAGGAACGAAAGCCGGGGUAGCAAAUGGG